rnacentral:rRNA from 1 species
UACGUAGGGACCAAGCGUUGUUCGGAUUUACUGGGCGUAAAGGGCGCGUAGGCGGCGCGGUAAGUCACUUGUGAAAUCUCUGAGCUUAACUCAGAACGGCCAAGUGAUACUGCAGUGCUAGAGUGUGGAAGGGGCAAUCGGAAUUCUUGGUGUAGCGGUGAAAUGCGUAGAUAUCAAGAGGAACACCUGAGGUGAAGACGGGUUGCUGGGCCAACACUGACGCUGAGGCACGAAGGCCAGGGGAGCAAACGGG